UACGUAGGGGGCUAGCGUUGUCCGGAAUCAUUGGGCGUAAAGCGCGCGUAGGCGGCCCGGUAAGUCCGCUGUAAAAGUCAAAGGCUCAACCUUUGAAUGUCAGUGGAUACUGCCGGGCUAGAGUCCGGAAGAGGCGAGUGGAACUCCUGGUGUAGCGGUGGAAUGCGCAGAUAUCAGGAGGAACACCGGUGGCGAAGGCGGAUCUCUGGGCCUGUCCUGACGCUCAGGCGCGAAAGCGUGGGGAGCAAACAGG
rnacentral:rRNA from 1 species